AUUAUCAUACAAGACUAUUACAAAACUAAUCGCGCACAUUAACUUUAAGCUGGAACUGUCUUUAACUUUCCUUGUAUCUGACGCAUUCACCUUAAUCUGCAAUGUUUUAUCAUGAUAUAGCAAGGGUAAGCAUGAAAGUUGCCCGACAAGUUUAAAUACAAUGUAAGGAUAUAUCAUGAUUGAAAGAGUAUGAAUAAUAAGCUGACUAUAAUUGACAAUGCAGUGGUGAAUUAGCAUGAACAAAACUUUUGACUGAACAAGUAUUACAUAUGAACAAUAUAUAUAUAUCCGGACCAACUGGUAAUGAAGGUGAUCAGCCUUUCAUACCUGACUUAUACGUGCAAUAUAUACAGAGUACAAUUCAACAUGGCAAUCAACAAUGAUUAACCAUAUGCAUAUCUGAAUAAAACACUCUUAGUAGAGUUAAGUAGAACUUGCCUGAACCGUUGAUUACCGAUACGAAAUAUAACUUAGCUUAUCCGAAGACCUAAUACAGAUAAUACCGAUCUCCAAAUAUUAGAAUAAUAUCAUCACAGUAUAAAAUAACAUAAACACAUUACCACAUAAUCCUAUCAGUCUAUACAACACAUGAAACUUUGUAUCAGGUCAAACUAUUUCAGUCUGACUUGAAACCGACACAGUUCUAACAUCCCGACGGUCUAAUCGGUCAAUACUCGAGUUUAAGUUCAAUUAAACUCUGCUUAAACACUUAACAAUUAUCACAGAUAAUUUUCUUAUUAGUCAAAACAAUUUUAAUAGGCUUAUAAUAAAUUUUCAAGUAAUUAUUACCAUUUAUCAUGAUUUUCUAAUCAUUAACACCGUAUUUAAAUGAAUUAAAUACCACAAUAUUCUAAUAUCAUUAAUAUUAUUUAAUAAUAACCAUUAAUGAAUUACAUGCCACAAUAUUAUUUCAUAUUCAUAAUAUCUCAAAGUAUUUUCAAUACUUUAUUACUUCUUUUAAAAAUUUUUUUUAAAGUAAUUCAAAACAUUAAUCAAUAACUGAUAUUUAAUGUAAAUACCACAUUAUUCCUUGAUCAUUAAUAUUUAUUAAAUGUUAAAUAUUAAUGAAAAUCAUAACAUAAUAUUGUAAUAUAAUUAUAACAUCACAAAGUAUUUUCAAUACCUUAAAAUCAUAUUUAUAUGAUUUUUAAACACUUAAAUCCAUUAUCCGAUAAUUGUUAAAAAUAUUAAAAUAUUAAUAUUUUCAUGCCAAAAUAUCAAAAGUUAUAUUUUAUAACUUAAAAUAUUUUUAUAACACUUAAAUCAUUUUUAUAUGAUUUUUAAAGCAUUAAACCUUUUUUUUUUACAUAAUUUAUUUAAUACAAUUAUUAAAUAAAUUUAUUAUCACAAUAUUAAUCUAUACCUUCAUUUAAAUAUUAAUUAAAUAGUAAUUAAUUAAUUACCUUUAGUUAUUAUUUAAUUAAUAAAUAAUAGCCAAUUAGUACUAAUCAUUAUUUAAUGGUAAUUAGAUAAUGAAUAAUCAAAUUAUUGUUUGUCUUUAAUUAUUAUUUAAUAAUAAUUAAUUAAUUUCUUAUCCUUGAAUAGUAAAUAAUUAAUUUAUUUACUUCCUUAGUCUUUAAUUAUUCCUUAUUAUUAUUUAAAGAAUAAUUAAUUAAUUUUAGUCCUUAUUUAUUAUUUAAUAUUAAUUAAAUAAUAAAAAUUUAAUUCAUCUCAUAAAUCUUUAAUUAUUCUUUCUUAUUACAGUUAAGAAUAAUCAAUUAUUACUUAGUCUUUAUUCAUUAAUAAAUAAUUAUAACCUUUUAUGUUAAUGUAAUUAGGUAAUUACAUUAUUAUUACAUAACAUUACUUAACCAUUCUUUAAUCAUCACUUAAUAUUAAUAAAAUAAUAAUUAAUCAAUUGUUAAUCUCUAGUUAUUAUUUAAUCAUAAUUAAAUAAUAACUUUAUUAACACUAAUCUUACUUAAUUAUCAUUUAAUAUUACUUAAAUAAUAAUUAAAUAGCUAAUUAUAUUUAAUAUUGUAUGUAAUAAAUUUUCUAACCAUUUAAUGGUUUUAAGAAUUAUUUUUAAUAAUUAUUCAAUUUCACUAAAUUACGAAAAUGCCACUCACGCCCAAAAUUUCCAGAUUUGGCAUCCUUUACGGAAACGCUUGUAAAAUGAAAUGUACAACUCGGAAUUAAGUUCCGUCGGAGGCGUUGGAUUCGUAUUUUCUUAAAAUACAUUUUUCAUUUAUCAAACACCAAAUUUGGUUCUGUUUUGGUCACAGAAAACAGUCCAGAAGUGGCUGGUCAGUUUUAGUUUUCUAGCUUGACCCUAUUGUACUAAAACAACCAUAACUUUUUCGUUUUAAAAUGUUUUUGAGCGAUUCUUGAGCCCACGCGAAGCUAACUUCCGGGACUACAACUUUUGUUCUUGGACCAUCUUCAAAUUCUAAACAAAGAAUUCCAGAAAUUCCGUGUAAAGUGACUGACCCGAGUUAGUUUGACAGUUUUGACGCGACUACUUUGAACGGUCAUAACUCUUUGCUCCGAAGUCGGAAUUAAUCCGUUCCGGAGUCUAUGGAAAGCUUAUUCAGUUUACUAUAACAUACCAAAAGCCCAUAAUUUUCUGGAACAUCUAACAAAUCUCGAAAUUCCCUUUUUGUGGCAGCAGCCUCUAGCUUUUCUAAGCUUUAAAAAAAACUGUUUUCAUUUUUCUUUUUUUUUUAAUCAAACUUUUAACACCCAAAAUGGUUAGAUCCAUACAAAAUACAUUAUAUAACAUGUAGAUCUAAGAUUUUUAGAGUUCAAGAUCAUAACUCAUAAUUUUGACAACAAUCAAACACAUAAACUAAUUAGAGUUUUGAGUAUAAAGAUUUUUAUACCUUUCUUCCUUCUAGCAAAUCUUCUCUUCUUGCCAAAAUAAUUUAAGAACUUGGGGAUGCAUGAAAUUUAACACUCCUUUACCACUAUAGUGGCUGCCGAAAAUGAGGAGAGGAGUUUUUCUCUCUCUAUACUUUGUUUGUUUAGCAAAAUGGAAGCUUAGAAUGAGAAAUGAGAGUAGGUGUAGCUUUUUU
rnacentral:lncRNA from 1 species